AUUUUCACAACAGCCUCCUGAGUCCCAUCAUUAUCAUGGUUUAUAGGUGAGGAAAUUGAGACUAGGGUGGUGAAGUCACUUGCCUCAAGAUGAACAGCUGGUAGAUCACAUGCGUGGUGGCACCGGGUGUGGCCCUGGAGGACUCGUGCUAGUGGAUCUGUUUUUCUAGUGAUUCUUUUGUUUUGUCCCUUAGAGUGAUGAUGCGGGUGUGCUGGUUGGUGAGACAGGACAGCCGGCACCAGCGAAUCAGACUUCCACAUUUGGAAGCAGUUGUGAUUGGGCGUGGCCCAGAGACCAAGAUCACUGAUAAGAAAUGUUCUCGACAGCAAGUUGAAAGCAGAGUGUAACAAGGGAUAUGUCAAGGUAAAGCAGGUAGGAGUCAAUCCCACCAGCAUUGACUCAGUCGUAAUUGGGAAGGACCAAGAGGUGAAGCUGCAGCCUGGCCAGGUUCUCCACAUGGUGAAUGAACUUUAUCCAUAUAUUGUAGAGUUUGAGGAAGAGGCAAAGAACCCUGGCCUGGAAACACACAGGAAGAGAAAGAGAUCAGGCAACAGUGAUUCUAUAGAAAGGGAUGCUGCUCAGGAAGCUGAGGCUGGGACAGGGCUGGAACCUGGGAGCAACUCUGGCCAAUGCUCUGUGCCCCUAAAGAAGGGAAAAGAUGCACCUAUCAAAAAGGAAUCCCUGGGCCACUGGAGUCAAGGCUUGAAGAUUUCUAUGCAGGACCCCAAAAUGCAGCCAUGUACAUCUUCAUGUGAUCAGCCAGGAUUUUGAUUCUCCUUGCCUUAAAAACAAAAAACAUUGGAAUUCUUUCAAUACAGAAUACUUCCUAGAAUCACAAGCUGUGAUCGAGAUGGUACAAGAGGCUGGUAGAGUAACUGUCCGAGAUGGGAUGCCUGAGCUCUUGAAGCUGCCCCUUCGUUGUCAUGAGUGCCAGCAGCUGCUGCCUUCCAUUCCUCAGCUGAAAGAACAUCUCAGGAAGCACUGGACACAGUGAUUCUGCAGAGCCUGAGCUGCUGCUGUGGUGUGGCCCACUGGAGCAAACUGCUGGCACCUAUUCUGGGUUGCUUGUGAACUUCUACUCAUUUCCUAAAUUAAAACAUGCAGCUUUUUCACAAAUUUAUUCUAUUAUUGAGUGGCCACAAUGUAGAGUGGCUCAAAGUACUUCAGGAUUAGGAAUUUGGGUUUGUCAUAGAUGUAUUCUCUGGUGAGGGUGGCUGGGAUAUACCUGACCCACCAUCUUCAGAAGGACCCAUGUCAGGUCUGACCAUUGGGAGCAAAGCCAUGUUCACACUGACCUAAUGCAGAGUAUGGAAGCAUUGGGCUGGUUAUACAUUUCUGUUUCUUAGAUUUAUCCUCCGCCUCUGUAGGCAUGGACAACCUUUAAUCAGAGCAUCUAGAGUGGCCUCUUGUUUAUCCUGAAGAUACUGAUGGGUCUUGUUUUCUGUUAGUCUGUUUUGUAAUAUUCUUUUCCCUUCCUUCAUGGGGAGGCUUAGUUUGUCCAGUCCUUCCAUGCCCUUCUAUCCCAGAUUACCUAAAUGUUCCCUUCUCAGGAAUUCUGUCUCAUCAGUUCUUCACAGUGAGAAAAGAGGCUAGAUGAUGGUGUGGGGGGUUGGAGUUUUCUUCUAAUACCGAGGGUUCCUGGCUGUGAGGAAACAGCCACAUGUUCGUCAUGAUUGAGCUGUGAAGUCUUCUUGGACCUGUUGUCUGAAAAUAAAGUUAAUUUGUUUGAGGCAUCUCUCUUAAGUAGGUGGAAACUAUUGAAGUUCAGCUAACAAUCACAGCAUAGGUUCUGAUGCAUGGAAAGGUGGUUGGUGAAUGAAAAAGUUGCGUAGAGCCACUACUUUCUUUUUCCCUGAGAAUAAAUUUGGAUAAAA
rnacentral:lncRNA from 1 species